UACGUAGGGUGCGAGCGUUAAUCGGAAUUACUGGGCGUAAAGCGUGCGCAGGCGGUCUGUUAAGACAGAUGUGAAAUCCCCGGGCUUAACCUGGGAACUGCAUUUGUGACUGGCAGGCUAGAGUAUGGCAGAGGGGGGUAGAAUUCACGUGUAGCAGUGAAAUGCGUAGAGAUGUGGAGGAAUACCGAUGGCGAAGGCAGCCCCCUGGGCCAAUACUGACGCUCAUGCACGAAAGCGUGGGGAGCAAACAGG
rnacentral:rRNA from 1 species